AGAGACAGCAGCAGCCGCGGUAAAACAGAGGAUGCAAGCGUUAUCCAGAAUGAUUGGGCGUAAAGCGUUUGUAGGUGGAUUCUCAAGUCCACCGUCAAAUCCCAGGGCUCAACCCUGGACAGGCGGUGAAAACUACCAAGAUGGAGUCGGUAGGGGCAGAGGGAGUUUCAAGUGGAGCAGUGAAAUGCAUUGAGAUCGGAAAGAACACCAACGGCGAAAGCACUCUGCUGGGCCGACACUGACACUGAGAGACGAAAGAUGGGGGAGUAAAUGGGAUUAGAGACCCGCGUAGUCCCUGUCUCUUAUACC
rnacentral:rRNA from 1 species